rnacentral:rRNA from 1 species
CCUACGGGAGGCAGCAGUGAGGAAUAUUGGUCAAUGGACGAGAGUCUGAACCAGCCGAGUAGCGUGAAGGAUGACUGCCCUAUGGGUUGUAAACUUCUUUUAUAUGGGAAUAAAACGUUCCACGUGUGGGAUUUUGUAUGUACCAUAUGAAUAAGGAUCGGCUAACUCCGUGCCAGCAGCCGCGGUAAUACGGAGGAUCCGAGCGUUAUCCGGAUUUAUUGGGUUUAAAGGGAGCGUAGGUGGAUUGUUAAGUCAGUUGUGAAAGUUUGCGGCUCAACCGUAAAAUUGCAGUUGAAACUGGCAGUCUUGAGUACAGUAGAGGUGGGCGGAAUUCGUGGUGUAGCGGUGAAAUGCUUAGAUAUCACGAAGAACUCCGAUUGCGAAGGCAGUUCACUGGACUGCAACUGACACUGAGGCUCGAAAGUGUGGGUAUCAAACAGGAUUAGAUACCCCAGUAGUC